GUGCUGGUUUAUACUAAAAUGCACAUAUACUAAAAUUGGAACGAUCCAGAAAAGAUUGGCGUAGCCCCAGUGCAAAUUUGUGAAGUGUUCCAUAUUUUU
rfam:Myotis brandtii contig312826, whole genome shotgun sequence.